CUCGCUUUCAUGUCUAGGAAUAACCCUUGGUACGUGUACCGAGCUGAAUGUACUAGAAGGAAUAAGGAUCGGCUAACUCGUGCUAGCAGUCCGCGGUAAUACGGAGGAUCCGAGCGUUAUCCGGAUUUAUUGGGUUUAAAGGGUGCGUAGGCGGCCUGUUAAGUCAGGAGUGAAAUACGGCAGCUCAACUGUCGCAGUGCUCUUGAUACUGAUGGGCUUGAAUAUCGCUGAAGAUGGCGGAAUGAGACAAGUAGCGGUGAAAUGCAUAGAUAUGUCUCAGAACACCGAUUGCGAAGGCAGCUGUCUAAACGAUUAUUGACGCUGAUGCACGAAAGCGUGGGGAUCAAACAGGAUUAGAUACCCUGGUAGUCCACGCCCUAAACGAUGAUAACUCGAUGUUAGCGAUAUACUGUUAGCGUCCAAGCGAAAGCGUUAAGUUAUCCACCUGGGGAGUACGCCCGCAAGGGUGAAACUCAAAGGAAUUGACGGGGGCCCGCACAAGCGGAGGAGUAUGUGGUUUAAUUCGAUGAUACGCGAGGAACCUUACCCGGGCUCGAAAGUUAGUGAAGGUAGCAGAGACGCUACCGUCCUUCGGGACACGAAACUAGGUGCUGCAUGGCUGUCGUCAGCUCGUGCCGUGAGGUGUUGGGUUAAGUCCCGCAACGAGCGCAACCCCUAUGUUUAGUUGCCAGCACAUUAUGGUGGGGACUCUAAACAGACUGCCUGCGCAAGCAGUGAGGAAGGCGGGGACGACGUCAAGUCAUCAUGGCCCUUACGUCCGGGGCUACACACGUACUACAAUGGAUGGUACAGCGGGCAGCUAGACAGCAAUGUCAUGCUAAUCUCUAAAAGCCAUUCACAGUUCGGAUCGGGGUCUGCAACUCGACCCCGUGAAGUUGGAUUCGCUAGUAAUCGCGUAUCAGCAAUGACGCGGUGAAUACGUUCCCGGGCCUUGUACACACCGCCCGUCAAGCCAUGAAAGUUGGGGGUGCCUAAAGCAUGUAACCGCAAGGAGCGUGUUAGGGCAAAACCGAUAAUUGGGGCUAAGUCGUAACAAGGUAGCCGU
rnacentral:rRNA from 1 species